GUCUAGCUCUAUGUUGUUUGGUUGUAAUGCAACAUAGCAUGUUUUUUUGAAGCUUAUGUGCACAACCUUGCGGACAACUUCCAGAGGUUUCACAAUCAUGACUGUUGCAGUUGGCACCACUUCUUUUAUAUGGGAAGGUGAUCCUUCAGACACAAAAUGAGCAGGUGCAGUUUGUAAAAGCUGAACUUGGAUCAGUGGAUUGUUUUUGUGAUCAUGUAUGAUAUUUACAAUUGACUCAAUCUUUCCAAUGCAACCAUUUCUAAGUUGAACUGUAAAACUGUUGUGUUUGUACGCCUUUCCAUAUUGCUCUGUAGUUAACAGUUGUCCGUUUACAAUGGCUCUGUUAUAUAUCUCUGCAGAGUACUCAUCUUUCUCAGAUAGAUCACAGACUGGAAGCAUUAAGAACUUGUCCUUGUGAUUUAGGACUUUUUGUCGAGAACAUCCCAACAAAACGAGACCUUCCAGCUUCUGUGCCUUAGCAACAAGAGGAUAAACACCUAGCCAGUCAUUGACAAGUUUGUCCACCCUAUUUGAGACAUCAGCGCUAGUCAUCGUUUGUUUCAGUAGUUGAGGAAUUGACUGAAGUAUGUUGAAUUGCCGUGCAAUUUGAGAUGGAAUGUAAUUUGUUCCAUGACACAACCUCUUCAGUUUUUGGUUGUGGUCCUCAAAUGAAAAUGCAGAUGUACACCAAAGAGGUCCAAACAUCUUGACAGAGAAGGGCAAGUGUGUGAGUUGAUGGACAUUGAAGGACAUUUGGCACAAGCCAUAUGUCAUUGGUAUCUCCUGCACAAACUUUGUUAUCUUGAAUGUUGCGGCUGCCAAGUCACUUUCUGUGAUUGUGUCUUUAAGAAAGCAAAAAAUAGCAGUGACUAGAAGUAGCCAAUGUUUCAAAAAUUUUGUUGGAAGAAUCUUGUACAGAACAGGUCCACUGUAGAACAAUAGCCAGCUUCGGCAUUCUGCAGCCUUCCACCUUUGUGCUACUUUCACAGUCCGUGGUACUCUUGGUAUAUCAGAUGGAGGUUUGAUGGAAAGCAGCCUUUGAUCCACAUGCUUAUGUGAUGUACCAAUGUACCAAGGGCUGUCAUGGUACUUGCUAUUGAACCACAAGUCCAAGAAUUGCUUUGUCACUCCCAAGAGAACACAGUGCAUGUAAUCAGUUGGAAAGCUGUCCACAAUGUCAAAACCAGUGGAGGGAUUCAGAAGGACUAAUGGUGAUACUGUCUUCACGCCAUAAACAUGGUCAACAUCAUUCUCAGUGGCCAUCUGCCCACAUUCAAUAACAUGGCCAUGGGUUCUUUUUUGUGCCUCAGUGGGCGGAUAGACUCUGGCAUAUCCUCUUCCCUUUGGCACUGUUUUUCCUUCACUUAAGCAAUGGCCACAUCCAUAUGCACCAUUGAACUGAUGUAUACCUUGAAGCACACAUCGGGCUACUGCGUCACAUGAGCAUACGACAGGGAAAACCUUAGACACCACAAUUGUUUUCGUAUGUGGGUGCUUCCAUUCCAGACCUUGUGAAUUGACUUUUAGAAUGUCAUCCACAAAUUGCUUAAGAUAGGUGGACAUGUCAGGUUUACCACGCCCAAACCAGACACCUGCGAGUAUCAUGUUUUUGAAACGAACAUUUGGGUGGAGUUCAUUGAUUACACAUCUGAUGGGCCACAAUGAGAAAGGUGAAGACUUAAACAUUGGAAUGCCAUCACAGUUCCAUAGUAGUGAUAUGUCAUUAGCUGUGAAAUUAGGGAGAGUUUGAUACAUUUCACCCUUUCUCACAUCAUUUGUUCCAUUUUCUUCUGACUGAAAUGCACACUCUUCUUGUUGUAGAAUGUCUCUUAGCUGGUCCUCAACAGAGAGACUUAUAUAAAAAUUGCCUUCUGCAAUAUUCUUUUGUUGGUCAUUUAUCUCAUUACACUCUGGACAAUUCAUGUUGUUCUUUGAAAGAUGUGACCGGCAAAUUUUGCAGAAAAGGUGAACAUUUAGAGACUCGGAUGGAUCAUGGAAUAGUUUUCGGAAGAGGUGGAGAGACUGUGGCAAUAUGUUGCUACUCGGGAGAAAGACAUUUAAGAGCUUUAAAAGGUCUUCCACAGUACUUGCUGUUAAACUGUGCCUCAGUGAAAAGGACAAGAUUAGAAGUACAGCCUGUGCUACUGUUAUCUCUGAUCCUGUGAAAAGAGGUGUCCCAAAUUUUUCAAAUUGUGAAUUAGAAUCAGAAUUUGUGUCAGCAGUGUCAUCGAUAGCAGAGUCUACUUCUCCCUGAGUGUCACUCCACUCAUAUUCGACAUGGUCCAUUUCAUUAACAGAAUCAUAAAAUUCCUCAUCUUCCUCACUGUCUGCAAGGGAGUCAUUCUGAUGGGUAUCAUCAUCCCAAUUGUAAAGAGGAGUGUUGUUUCUUCGCCAUCGACUUGUCUUUGGAAGAGGACAACUCGAUUCUGGAUCCAAAAACCUGGUAAUAUAAUCAAGUUCUAUUUUAACAUGUGACAGUGCUUUCAAGUAAUAAUAUGGUAAAGUCAUAACAUUUCUUUAACCCUCUGGUACUGUUUAGUUAUUUUUGUGUUUUAGAAAGUUUUACAAUUUUUACUUCAUCGAAAUGGCACACACCUUGGUGACUUUUGUGGCACUUGCUAAAGUAUCAGAAUCACCCAUUUGGGAAAAAUCACAGAGCUAUGAAUGGGGCUGAACUCUGAACCAUUAAGUGUGCAAAACAGAGAGACAGAGUGGGAUUAAGACUAUUUAUUGUAAGUUGAGCUUGGUAAGACACUAGCUGAAACAUUCUAAGAUUUAACUCAACACACUAAAAGUUUCCUUUGACUGAAACAUAUUUAAAUACAUACACACAGAUUUUAAACACCGACUGUAAACACUGACUAAAUGCAACUGGCUCUGACUCAGCAGGUGUGGGCAGUGUCAGUCGUAAGCAUCAGUCACAGUCCGCCUCACAGUCAUUAAAUGCGUCACUGAAAUCAGAUCAUAGCCAGAUAAAUCAAGUUCUGAUCAAGCAUUCCUGUUCAUUUUUGUUAAUUUUGAAUUUUGAUGUUAUAAUCAGAUUACAAAAUGUUUUUACUGUAAUCAUGAUGUAAAAACUGACACUGCAUAUGAACAAUUCUAAAUAAAUAAAUAAAUAAAUAGGCUUCUUGUAGUUCAGAUGAUUUUCUUUAUUUAUUUUCACCAGAUGGCACCUAUGUGCCUCAAUUCAUUGGAUUUUUUAAAGUUUUUACUCCGUGUAUAUAUAUAUAAAGAGAGAGAGAGAGUUUUAUUUUUAUAUAGAUUUUUAUUUAUUUAUUUGUAUUUUCUGUAUUUUUUCUCCGAUGUGCAAACAAUGCAAGUGUGACUAGAGUAAAUGAACAAUGUUAGAGGGUUUAAAAACUUUCUUUACAACAAAAACAAAUAAUCAUAUCAAUAACAAUAUUGUAUAAGACUUACAAUAUCCAUAAAUGUACUCAUUAUUAUUUAAAAUGUAUAUUUCAUUAUUUUUUGAAAUGUAUAAUUUGUAUUGCUUAACGUUAAGCUGUAAAAAUAGGCUACCUUUUGUAAGGACCUCUUUGUCGUGCAUUCAUUUUACUGUAGGGAUAUCUUCUGUUUCAGCUGAAUCAUGUGGUCACUGUUGUGCAAAGAUCAAAUAUGUAUGUAACUUCCUGCAUAACUACUACACUGUGAAUAAUAAUAAUAAUAAUAAUUUCAGAACCUUUCUCAAGUCAACAUUAUAAAAAGAUAAUAAUAAUAAUAAUAAUAAUAAUAAUAAUAAUAAUAUCUAAAAAACAAAACAAAACAAAAAAAACACCGCCCACAACUCACUUGGUAGGCGUGAACAUUUAAUUGCGCGUGCGCAUUCCUUGCUCAAAUUGCAACGGUCGACUCGGAGCCGAAGAGGAGACGACAGGAGUUUCUGAAAGAGCAGCGGUGACAGACAAUUAAAAUGAGGUUCAUGCUGAUACAAUGGAUCGAAGACCCCCCAAAAUGGGAUGUGCUUCCAAUCAAUAAAAUGAUACAUGGCUGCUGUGAAAUUGGUUGUAUAUGUGACGUUUCAUACGAAGAUGAGUCAAGCCCUGCAAAAAUUUUAAACAUUGGAACUAGAUCUGCAAUGCUGAAGCAGCUAAAUACGGUCAUCAACAGGACUGGGCCUAAAGGAAAUGGAGAACAAUUAGGGAGAGGGCAGCGCAAAAAAUACCGCCGAAUACUGUCGGAGAGCUCCAGCAGUGAGGAAUAUGAGUCUGUCAACAAACAGGUUGCUGCAAAGACCAUAAACAGGAUACGAGCCAGAUCUUUUCUACAGCAGUAUAAUCAA